rnacentral:rRNA from 1 species
AGAAUCAACGCUGGCGGCGCGCCUAACACAUGCAAGUCGAACGAGAAAGUGGAGCAAUCCAUGAGUAAAGUGGCGUACGGGUGAGUAACACGUGGAUCAUCUACCCUCUAGUGGGGAAUACCGCUGGGAAACCGGCGACAAUACCGCAUAAGCUCGAGAGAGGAAAGCAGCAAUGCGCUGGAGGAGGAGUCCGCGGUCGAUUAGUUAGUUGGCGGGGUAAAGCCCACAAGACUGUGAUCGAUAGCCGGCCUGAGAGGGCACACGGCCACACUGGCACUGAAACACGGGCCAGACUCCUACGGGAGGCAGCAGUGGGGAAUCUUGCACAAUGGGGGAAACCCUGAUGCAGCGACGCCGCGUGAGCGAUGAAGCCCCUCGGGGUGUAAAGCUACUUUCGGCCAGGGAAGAUUAUGACGGUACCUGCAAAAGCAGCUGCGGCUAACUACGCGCCAGCAGCCGCGGU